UGUUCCCACAAGCGGGCAAAGUGUGCAGCUCAUACAAGCAAAAAGUUUUAUGUUUAACUUGUUUAGCACCUCGUUGAUAAGGGGAUAAGGUUUCAAGAGAGGAAAACUAUCCAGAAGACAGGACAGUGAAGAUGACAAGAGCGGGAAAACAUCCAGUGUAAUCUCCAUACAGGACUCAAACUAUUAUAGCGCUGAGUCUUCAGUGGAAAGAAAGAUGAGAACCGACUGAGUCAAACUCAGAAUCAAAUGAAAACAUUGUUUACAUUUUGAAUAUGUGUGCAUAACAGAAGGUUGUCAUGAAGAUUUGAUUUCACAUUGACAAUGUUUCACUAAUGUUUAAAAGCUGUGUUAAUGUUUAAGUCAAAGAGUACUAAUAAACUAUGAAUCAUUGUUUA